UCGGUAUGGAAGCACUUUGAGCUCUUGGCCUGAGUGGUGAACCGUGUAGUUUCGUGGUGCCACACGUCUUUCCUGUGUUGGUUUAUGGAUGUGUGGCGACAUAAGUGAUUCCAGGCCUGUGUGGUAGCGCCGUGACGCAGAUGCAGCCAAAGAAAACUGUUCAGGCAGACGUGUGGAGGGAAGCACUGGAGCUGAGGAUCUCAGACUGAAAGUGAGAACGUUGGUGUUUAAACAGGGACACCGUCUCCUGGACUCUACCGGAGGCGUUUCAUCACUGUCAGCGCCGGUUUGAAAACGUCCUCUGUCAGGCCACACCGGCUGGAGACGCAAGGCUGCUUGAAAAGAGCCACAGACCUGAAGACGUGCUGAAAGAAACCCUUGGUACGUCAAUGGACCGCUCACUGGGAGAGAGCAAGGGGAGGACGGAGGGAAGCUAAACACUGAACUGUAUGUAAACAGAGACAGAAGUCAGUUGAUCACUUUGAUAACAGAUUUCAGGCUUAAGCAACGACCCAGUUUACUUUAUUUUCUGAUGCAUAAAUGUGCACUUGAAGUUGAAAUAUGUUCAGUCCAAAACACACAACACAACACAAACAGACAUGUUCAGGUUUCUCUUUUGGUCAUUUUUUAAAACUUAAAAUAUGAAAUUUCUGCCACUAGCGGGUCUUUUACAUUAAAACCAUAAUAAUGAAAGAAGUUUGAUGAGGUGGUGAAGCAGCUAGUAACGUUUAGAAAUGUAACAUAUUAUAGAUUUAAAGUUCACUUAUUUUUAGAGCUAUUUUAGCAGAAUUCAUAUCCCAAAAUACCAAAUAUAUACGAUACUGGUGUGCCACAAGGCAGUACAUUGGGUCAUUUUUAUUUUCUUUAUCUAAAUAAAAGUUUCAUAUACAUUCUUAGCCCAAAAAACUACAACAAAAAGUUGCUCAAUCAUUCAAUUGAAAUGUCCAUUAACAGUAAAAAGUAUUGCUAACAUUUAGUUUUUUUCACCAAUGGAAUAUGAAGUUUUCUCGUUAUAAACUGUUUCUAUUCUACAUGUGUUAAUAGUGGUAUUUAUACAGUAUUUGACAAUGUGGAAAAAACAUAUUUUUUUCCUGAUUAAACUCAGUUCGUUACAGUUCUUAUCAAACAGAUUCAAACAAUCCCCCACCACUGCAUGUGACACUGGUGUGCCACAGGGCAGUAUACUGGGUCCUGUGUAAAAGUAAAGUAAAUAACAGAUUUUUCAUUGUAAAAUGUCCAUGAGUCAGAAUUAAUAUUUAAUUUGACUUAUUUUGAUAAGUCCCUUUCAGUCAUGGGAUAUAUAGAGUUGUGUUUUGAUUGUGAAUCAUCUUUAUUAACUUUUCUCUGGAGUUGUGCCAAACCAGUAUUAUACAUGAACAAAUAUUGACAUAUGUUAAAAAAACAAACUCACUGGCAGGAAGGAGAUCCUUUAAGAAACUUAUAACAAUAGAAAACUCCAUGUGAGAGGGUGUAAAAUAACAAAAAGUCACAAUAAUCCUUUUAAAUCACUGUAGUCCUUUAACAUGAGGGCAUUUUUGCGCAGUGAAGUCGUUUUAACCAGUCAUCUCUCCUUCCAGCUGAUAUUUAGGUUAAUAAUCAGGAUUAGGGUUAGUUUAUGUAUUACAACCUGAUGUUUUAAUGCCCUCCACCCACCCCUUGUAAGUCCCACAACCUCUCCCCCACCCCUAAAACCGCACCCGCUCAGAUCUCGGUGUGGUGCCGCUGCGUCAGCCGGGGCCCGUAUGGCGUCCUGCAUACCGUUGGUUCAGACCACAAAACACACACUGCUCAAUGGCUGCCCUUUAAUCAGACGACCAGCACACACCCACAGAGACCGGGCUCCUGCCUUUAAUGAUCAAAAUAGUCCUGCGAACACUGAGGAGAGGAGAGGAGAGGCUGGCGGUGGAAGAGCAACGUUUUCACUGGUGGUCGAACAGUCUAAACAUUUUUUUUAUUUUCGUGUGUUUGAUCCUGGUGUUUGUUGGUAUAAUUGAGAUCUAAAGUCUGUAAUACAGAUCAAAGUGUUUCAAUAUACGACCAACAAACAUUCUUAAAACAGACUGAUAUCAUCUGAACACAGGUAGCGAGAGGCAGCUGGUUGAUGCGAUACGCUCCUGCCGAUGGUUUCACACUGUUUCAUUGAUCUACAUGUAGCUUUAAUGAGACAGACGAAGCUUAUAAACAUGGAUCAAUACCACUGAUAUUGAUCAAAUUAACACAGAAAAGGAGAAACACCUUAAAACAUUACAUUUGUACGACUGUAUGGGCGAACAGUGUAAAACUUUACUCAUACAUGUUAAUGUUUUAUUGUCUUGUUUUUCUCAUACAUUUAAUCUAUUUCUGUCAAACUUGCUGAUUUAUGUGGAUUUUAAGGUUUAAUGUCUGUUUUUAAAUAAACUCAUGCAGCAUUA